rnacentral:rRNA from 1 species
UUUUAAUUUUUUAAAAAAUAUAUUAUAUUUUUUAAAAAAUUUUAUUGGGGGGAUAAAAAAAUUUUUUUAACUUUUUUAAAUUAAUUCAUUAAUUUAUGUAUUAGACUAUCUUUAAUUUAAAAAUAAAAAUUAAAA